AGAGUUUGAUCCUGGCUCAGGAUGAACGCUAGCUACAGGCUUAACACAUGCAAGUCGAGGGGCAGCAUGAAUCAAGCUUGCUUGAUUUGAUGGCGACCGGCGCACGGGUGCGUAACGCGUAUCCAAUCUACCCACGGCCCGGGGAUAGCCUUGCGAAAGUAAGAUUAACACCCGAUGGUCUCGGGGAGCCGCAUGACUCCCUGAGUAAAGUUUUACGGCAGUGGAUGUGGAUGCGUCCGAUUAGCUAGUUGGCGGGGUAACGGCCCACCAAGGCUACGAUCGGUAGGGGUUCUGAGAGGAAGGUCCCCCACACUGGAACUGAGACACGGUCCAGACUCCUACGGGAGGCAGCAGUGAGGAAUAUUGGUCAAUGGGCGAGAGCCUGAACCAGCCAAGUAGCGUGAGGGAAGACGGCCCUAUGUGUUGUAAACCUCUUUUUCCGGGGAAUAACCGUCGGCACGCGUGCCGGUCUGCAUGUACCCGGAGAAUAAGCAUCGGCUAAUUCCGUGCCAGCAGCCGCGGUAAUACGGAAGAUGCGGGCGUUAUCCGGAUUUAUUGGGUUUAAAGGGAGCGUAGGCGGAGCGUCAAGCCAGCGGUCAAAUGUCAUCGCCCAACGAUGGCCUGCCGUUGGAACUGGCGCCCUUGAAUGCGGUCAAGGGAGGCGGAACUCGCCAUGUAGCGGUGAAAUGCUUAGAUAUGGCGAAGAACCCCGAUUGCGAAGGCAGCCUCCUGCCCGUGAUUGACGCUGAGGCUCGAAGGCGCGGGUAUCGAACAGGAUUAGAUACCCUGGUAGUCCGCGCCGUAAACGAUGAGUGCUGGUCAUGCGCGACAUGCUGUGUGUGACUGAGGGAAACCAUUAAGCACUCCACCUGGGGAGUACGCCGGCAACGGUGAAACUCAAAGGAAUUGACGGGGGCCCGCACAAGCGGAGGAACAUGUGGUUUAAUUCGAUGAUACGCGAGGAACCUUACCCGGAUUUGAAUUGCUGAGGACGGGAGCGGAGAAGCUCCUUCCCUUCGGGGCUUCAGUGAAGGUGCUGCAUGGUUGUCGUCAGCUCGUGCCGUGAGGUGUCGGCUUAAGUGCCAUAACGAGCGCAACCCCUGCCGCCAGUUGCCAUCGGAUAGUGCCGGGCACUCUGGCGGGACUGCCAUCGCAAGAUGCGAGGAGGGUGGGGAUGACGUCAAAUCAGCACGGCCCUUACGUCCGGGGCUACACACGUGUUACAAUGGGGGGCACAGCGAGCAGCUUGCCGGCGACGGCUGGCCAAUCUUGAAAUCCCCUCUCAGUUCGGACUGGAGUCUGCAACCCGACUCCACGAAGCUGGAUUCGCUAGUAAUCGCGCAUCAGCCAUGGCGCGGUAAAUACGUUCCCGGGCCUUGUACUCAAAGCCCGUCAAG
rnacentral:rRNA from 1 species